GAUGAACGCUGGCGGCGUGCCUAAUACAUGCAAGUCGAGCGAACGGACGAGAAGCUUGCUUCUCUGAUGUUAGCGGCGGACGGGUGAGUAACACGUGGAUAACCUACCUAUAAGACUGGGAUAACUUCGGGAAACCGGAGCUAAUACCGGAUGAUAUUUUGAACCGCAUGGUUCAAAAGUGAAAGACGGUCUUGCUGUCACUUAUAGAUGGAUCCGCGCUGCAUUAGCUAGUUGGUAAGGUAACGGCUUACCAAGGCAACGAUGCAUAGCCGACCUGAGAGGGUGAUCGGCCACACUGGAACUGAGACACGGUCCAGACUCCUACGGGAGGCAGCAGUAGGGAAUCUUCCGCAAUGGGCGAAAGCCUGACGGAGCAACGCCGCGUGAGUGAUGAAGGUCUUCGGAUCGUAAAACUCUGUUAUUAGGGAAGAACAUAUGUGUAAGUAACUGUGCACAUCUUGACGGUACCUGAUCAGAAAGCCACGGCUAACUACGUG
rnacentral:rRNA from 1 species